rnacentral:rRNA from 1 species
GAUGAACGCUGGCGGCGUGCCUAAUACAUGCAAGUCGAGCGAAUGGAUUAAGAGCUUGCUCUUAUGAAGUUAGCGGCGGACGGGUGAGUAACACGUGGGUAACCUGCCCAUAAGACUGGGAUAACUCCGGGAAACCGGGGCUAAUACCGGAUAACAUUUUGAACCGCAUGGUUCGAAAUUGAAAGGCGGCUUCGGCUGUCACUUAUGGAUGGACCCGCAUCGCAUUAGCUAGUUGGUGAGGUAACGGCUCACCAAGGCAACGAUGCGUAGCCGACCUGGGAGGGGGAUCGGCCACACUGGGACUGAGACACGGCACAGACUCCUACGGGAGGCAGCAGUAGGGAAUCUUCCGCAAUGGACGAAAGUCUGACGGAGCAACGCCGCGUGAGUGAUGAAGGCUUUCGGGUCGUAAAACUCUGUUGUUAGGGAAGAACAAGUGCUAGUUGAAUAAGCUGACACCUUGACGGUACCUAACCAGAAAGCCACGGCUAACUACGUGCCAGCCGCCGCCGUAA